rnacentral:rRNA from 1 species
AAUAUUGGGACAUAUAAAAAAAAGACAACUCUGUUCCUCAGAGUAGCUGUUGACAUUAUAGUUGCGCAGGCACUUUGUUGACUCUAGAGAACCUCGGGCCAAUCGCACAUCCCCAUGACGGCGACUUUGCAUUCGGAUGUCAUCCAUAUCAACUUUUGAUGCCAGUUUCUGCGCCUACCAUGGUGACCACGGGUAACGGGGAAUCAGGGUUCCAUUCCGUACAGGGACCCUGAGAAAUGGCUACGACAUGCAAGAAAGGCAGCAGGCGUGCAAAUGACCCACUCCAGACGUGGGAAGGUAGUGA